CUUACCCACAGGCUCUUUAAAGAGAAACUGACUUGACUGCAUUCCUGCUCUUGGGGAACUGCAGGCUCUGAUUAUUACAGGAGCUAGGACUACCAUGAGCAGCAAUGAGAUCUGGGGCUGCAGGAAGAAAAGCAACAGAUGGAUUUGAUGUAGGAAUAACUAAACUUGGCUUAAUGGACUGGGAGCCUGAAACUUGCCAGUGAGACUUCAGUUGCAGAAGGAAAGCUGCAUAUUGCAUAAACUCUAUGGUUGAC
rnacentral:lncRNA from 1 species